GAUGAACGCUGGCGGCGUGCCUAAUACAUGCAAGUCGAGCGAAUGAAUUGAGAGCUUGCUCUCAAGAAGUUAGCGGCGGACGGGUGAGUAACACGUGGGUAACCUGCCCAUAAGACUGGGAUAACUCCGGGAAACCGGGGCUAAUACCGGAUAACAUUUUGGACCGCAUGGUUCGAAAUUGAAAGGCGGCUUCGGCUGUCACUUAUGGAUGGACCCGCGUCGCAUUAGCUAGUUGGUGAGGUAACGGCUCACCAAGGCAACGAUGCGUAGCCGACCUGAGAGGGUGAUCGGCCACACUGGGACUGAGACACGGCCCAGACUCCUACGGGAGGCUG
rnacentral:rRNA from 1 species